CAAAACAGCCACUAUUAACAUUACAUACUGUCAUUUGUCCUAAUUAAUUAAAUGAAACCAUCAGGAGAGGGACUCUAGUGCCCUGAUGAGGAGGCAAAUAUGAAGAUCAAAGCAGGAAGGCAACUCUUUGAAGAAUAGAGUUCUUUUAAAGCAUCCGGAUCAGAGUCGUCCUUGUGGAUAAAGCAUCGAACACUUUAUCGUGUACAGAUGUAUGAAGCACCGUUGCCUCUGCAGAAUUUGAUGAUAGAGCUUGCCAGUUUGGUGCAGGAUGCUGAUCCUCUGUUGAGGACCUGAGAAUAAACGGUUUAGAUGAUGGAUCGACUCCACAAGGCAGACUCUCAUCCACUGACAGGGA